UGAAAAGUGACAGGGUCAGGGAAGGGGACAUUUGGUAGGAAAGGAGGGACAAUCUACAGGGAGCCUGCACCAGUCUGCUCCAGGCAGUGGCCCGGCCAGCGCCUCCUGCUUUUCUGUGUCUGGUGGAGCUCAGGCCUCGAGAGGAGAGGCAAUGGGCCAAGAUGAAGAGACACAAGCGGCCGCCUGGAGGAACAGGGCCUGCGGGGGCUUCGCUGCCAGGCGCCCCUCACGCUGGACGGGAACCGCUGAGACAGAGAGGAGGGGUCCCAGCGGGGAGGCACAGAGGACCAGGCCAGGUGUGCAGCCCAGGGAGAGCCGACAGGGGCCCUGCCUCCCACGCUGUUCUCGGGAAACGGCUGGACGGGGAAGUGACCCCACUCAAAGAGGGGUGACCUCCAGGAGACCCGUUCACAGACUCUGCCAGAAAUAAACAGGCACAUGGAGGAGACAGUUUUCAAAGAAUGAAAAGGACAGAAUAAGAGAAGGCGGGCAAAUCCAUGAGACGUUUCAGAAACGUGAGGACGUGGAAACUGAGCCACUCGAGGGUCUCUGGAGGUCACCCAGGGCCUGUUAGAGCAACGUGGGCAAGCCCUGGGGAACAGAAAGUGGGGCUGGAGAGACCAUGGUGACCAAAGAUGUGGUGAGAGUUACAGUGAGGUCUGACCACGGCUGACCACUCGUGUGACCCAUGGUUCAGAGCCACAAAUCCGAGUGUGGACAGUGGGACCGUCAUGGGCCCGAUUCCUCCGGGUGGGGACACGAGCACUGGUCAAUUCUGGCUGUUGAGAGAAAACGACGACUAAACGUGCAUCUAAUAACAUUAAGGUCAUCAGCAGUGAGGCAGAAGUGGAGCCUGUGACCUUCAAACCAAGAAAACAUACAAAUAAAAACCCAACCAGGAGGGCGGGCCCCAUGGCUGAGUGGUUAAGUUCGCACGCUCCACUUCAGUGGCCUAAGGUUUUGCUGGUUCGGAUCCUGGGCGCGGACAUGGCACUGCUCGUCAGGUCAUGCUGAGGGUGGCGUCCCACAUGCCACAACUAGAAGGACCCACAACUAAAAAUAUACAACUGUGUACCAGGGGGCUUUGGGGAGAAGAAGAAGGAAAAAAAAGAUGAGCAACAGAUGUUAGCUUAGCUGCCAAUCUUUAAAAACUAGCAACAAAAAACCCAGCCAGGGGCCGGCCCCAUGGCCUAGUGGUUAAAGUUCAGCACACUCUGCUUUGAUGGCCCGGGUUCAUGGGUUCAGAUCCCAGGUGUGGACCCACACUACUGGUCAGCCAUGCAGUGGUGGCGACCUACACAUAAAGUGGAGGAAGGGCGCUGGCCCAGUGGCGCAGUGGUUAAGCGAGCACGUUCUGCUUCAGCGGCCCAGGGUUCGCUGGUUCAGAUCCCCAGUGUGGACAUGACAUUGCUUGGCAGGCCAUGCUGUGGUAGGCAUCCCAUAUAUAAAGUAGAUGAAGAUGAGCACGGAUGUUAGCUCAGGGCCAGUCUUCCUCAGCAAAAAGAGGAGGAUUGACAGCAGAUGUUGGCUCAGGGCUAAUCUUCCUCACACACACACAAAAAAGUAGAGGAAGAUUGGCAUGGAUGUCAGCUCAGCAUCAAUCUUCCUCAAGCAAAAAACCCCCCAAAAUCAAGAAAACAAAAACCAACCAUUUUGCUUCCCACAACAGAGUUCACAGGGAUGAGCUGGCAACCCUGCCCCUCCGGACCCCCAGAUGCUGGGGAAAGUGCAACGGGCAUCUUCGGAAAUCUUGGAGACAUUUUCCACCCAGGGAUGCAGACAGGUGUCACUCCCACCUUCGCAACAACAAAGAUUCCGGACAAACUCAUGCCUGAGUCUUCCUAAACUCCCAGAAUGCUGAGGUCAUGUGUGACCAGUGGUCUGAGGUCAAAGGAGAGAUGGGUGCCCUCGGGGAGGCGGUGGGAUGGCAGAUGCAGCCGGCACAGUCGGAAGAGGUCAGAUAGAGACACGGCAAGAACGUGGGCCCUGAGCCGAGGGGAGCUUGCUGCUCGUGGGCCUUCCCUCCACAGACUUGGAGAGAGGCCCGAGACACCUGGGAGGGGACCAACAGCAGCCCCUGAGGGGGGCACAUGGCAAGGCUGGGCCCUUCUCCCCUUUAAUCCAUGGGAGAAAUGCAACAAACACUGCCACCCUAAGGGCACUGUGGAAGGCGUUUUGGGGUUGGGGGACAUAAAGACAAUCUCUGUCCCUGGGCAAGAGGCGGGAGGGCGCUCUGGGCCCGGACAGCAGAGACCCCUGCUCCUGGGGGAGGCACAGCAUCACUGAGCAGACCCCACCCCAAGACGCAGGGACAUCCCACCUGCUGGGAGUGCAGGAGUUUUGGUCAUAAAUCAUAUCUCAAUAAAACUGAUUAGGAGAAAAUGAUGAAUGGAGAUGACAGGCAAAGGAAAGGUAACAUACACACAAUUGUAAUCCCCAAAGGAAAAAACUAGAAAAAUGGACAAGAAUAAGUACUGAAAAAGGUGAGUCAGAAGUACCUUUCAGGAAGCCAGCUCUGGGCUAUCACUGUGAGGAGGUCCACAGGCCCAUUCUCCAGCAGAACAACAAUAACUGGAGGAAAAAAAUUUUAAGUCCCUGGGAAUAUUCUAAGGGCAUAGAGCACAUGAAGCCGGGGGCUUCGUUCCUCCAUCCAGCCCAGCCACAGGGUGGAGACCCUCCCUGGGCACAGCAGGCCGGGCACACGCAGCCCGUCUCACCUUUGCUCCACUCACCUGUGGGGUCGGGCUCCACGAGAGGCAGGUGGAGAUGCCCAGAGGUGCCUGCCCCUGCCCAGGCCCUGCUCACAAAGUAAGAACGUACCUCUGAGGGGAGUGGGCCACUGCCCCGCCCGCCUGCAGAGUGACAGGCCCUCCCAGGGAAAGGCAGUCUGUGAGAAGGGAGCUCCCAGGCCCUCCCCAGAGGAACCGGCUUUAUCUGAACCAGAGUGUGGGGAGGUUCGAGCCUGUGGGUGCUCUUGAAAUCAAUGGGGGAUUUGGUGACAAGCAACUGAGAGGAGACUGUAGCUUCUUUGGAGAAACUAGCUCAACCAUAGACCAGCUGGUUUCCUAGAGAGGACACGGGAAAGAGGUAAAUAAGAAGAGAUCUCCUGGGGUCGGAACAAGCCGCAAGGACUUGCAUCAAAAAAUGACCCCUGCAAAGGAGCCCAAAUUUAAUAGGAUCAGACUGGGGGUAAAGUUGUAUCCCAGGCAUUGUCAACAAUAACAGAGCAACCUGCUGGCCAUUAGCGGACACCCAGAGCUAGGUGUCAGAUAGCUCAGCAGAGAGACCAGGGACAGAGAGCCCCAGAGGGCCCUGCUGAAAUCACUGUCACCCCAGGGUGGCAUGUCCUCUGAGGAUUGACACCACAGGCUUCACACUGCAGCAGGAAUAGAGUUCGCUUGCUCUCUUUUCUUGUCUCUCUUUCCUUAAAAGACAUAAAAUUACAGGAAGCAAUAAUUUAAC
ensembl:lncRNA